UACGGGGGGGGCAAGCGUUGUUCGGAAUUACUGGGCGUAAAGGGCUCGUAGGUGGCCAACUAAGUCAGACGUGAAAUCCCUCGGCUUAACCGGGGAACUGCGUCUGAUACUGGAUGGCUUGAGUUCGGGAGAGGGAUGCGGAAUUCCCCAAGUAGAGGUGAAAUUCGUAGAUAUGGGGAGGAACACCGGUGGCGAAGGCGGCCAUCUGGACGGAUACUGACGCUGAGACGCGAAAGCGUGGGGAGCAAACAGG
rnacentral:rRNA from 1 species